rnacentral:snoRNA from 1 species
AGCAUACUUUUAAAAAGGGCUUUAUUAGAGCUGUAAAACCAAGAGCUGUUAAGGUUGUAUCUAAAGAAUGAAGUUAUCCCCAGGAUGCCAGUCACUUCAACAAUGCUAAUGUUUUCUUGAAAAGAUAUAAGA